rnacentral:rRNA from 1 species
AUGUCCCGGAGCUCGUCUUCCGCUCAUCGUCUCCGGACACCCCUGCCCCCGCUGCCAUUGAUCCUGUGCCCGAGGUGUGCUGGGACGAGGACUAGAUGGUUUGUCUCCGGGAUAGACCGGAAUCCCGGCGUCCGUUUUUACAAAUGCCCGAAUCAGGGAGUAAGUCUGUUAUCUGUACACCCAUCCAUCAGAUGUUGCAGUUUUCUUCUGUUUGCUUUGUAUUUUCUUGUUCAUCAUUCAGUUUUCAGUUUUGAAACUGACACAGGACGGAGGCCCGUGCAACUUUUGGUUGUAGGAGGACCAGUACGCGUUCUUCAUCACCGGCGUUGGCAUCAACCUUCUCAUCGAGGCGGUCGGAGGUGA